rnacentral:rRNA from 1 species
UACGAAGGGGGCGAGCGUUGUUCGGAAUUACUGGGCGUAAAGGGCGCGUAGGCGGCCCCUUUUGUCGCGUGUGAAAGCCCCGGGCUCAACCUGGGAGGUGCGCGCGAAACGGGGGGGCUUGAGUUCGGGAGAGGAGAGUGGAAUUCCCAGUGUAGAGGUGAAAUUCGUAGAUAUUGGGAAGAACACCGGUGGCGAAGGCGGCUCUCUGGACCGAGACUGACGCUGAGGCGCGAAGGCCAGGGGAGCAAACGGG